AGACCGCUUGAGGCGUGCAGCAUCCCUACG
rnacentral:sRNA from 1 species